AUGCGAUACACAGUAUGCGGCCAAGCGAAAGCGUUAAGCAUCCCACCUGGGGAGUACGCCGGCAACGGUGAAACUCAAAGGAAUUGACGGGGGCCCGCACAAGCGGAGGAACAUGUGGUUUAAUUCGAUGAUACGCGAGGAACCUUACCCGGGCUUGAACUGCACAGGAAGGAGACAGAGAUGUUGACGCCCUUCGGGGCCUGUGUGGAGGUGCUGCAUGGUUGUCGUCAGCUCGUGCCGUGAGGUGUCGGCUUAAGUGCCAUAACGAGCGCAACCCCUUUCGCCAGUUGCCAUCAGGUGAUGCUGGGCACUCCGGCGACACUGCCACCGC
rnacentral:rRNA from 1 species